AACAUACGUAGAAGAGUACUUGUGUUUAACUUUGAAUGUUUCAAGAAACCCAAAACUUAACACCAUGUCUUAUGACAGAGGCAUUUACUGCUAAGUACCCAUGCACUAUCCCAAAUCAUGUCACUGCACUCCAGUCUGGGCAACAGAGUGAGACUCCGUCUCAAAAAAAAAAAUAAUUUGAUCCUCAUAAAAUUCAGCAUUCCAAAGAAUUGGGGGUAGGAAACUUGAGCCCCACUUUGAGAUGGGGUGGAUUCCUCUUGAGAUACUCUACAGCACACAUACUCUUGACCUUUUCAUGUAUCUCUGUCUCCUAAUUUGGCAGGAAAUAUAGGAAAAGGAACAAGGGAAAAACAUAGUGACAGCCAGGAAUAUUGAAUGUCACCUUAUA
rnacentral:lncRNA from 10 species